CCUUCGAUAGCUUAGUUGGUAGAGCGGGGGACUGUAGAUUUAUAAUUGUGAUCCCUAGGUCGCUGGUUCGAAUCCGGCUCGAAGGA
rnacentral:tRNA from 1 species